rnacentral:rRNA from 1 species
AGUCGAGCGCCCAGCAAUGGGAGCGGCGCACGGGUGCGUAACACGUGGGAAUAUACCCUUAGGUACGGGACAACGUCGGGAAACUGACGCUAAUACCGUAUAAUGACUCCGGUCCAAAGAUUUAUCGCCUAGGGAUUAGCCCGCGUCUGAUUAGCUAGUUGGUGAGGUAAUGGCUCACCAAGGCAACGAUCAGUAGCUGGUCUGAGAGGAUGAUCAGCCACACUGGAACUGAGACACGGUCCAGACUCCUACGGGAGGCAGCAGUGAGGAAUAUUGGACAAUGGGCGAAAGCCUGAUCCAGCCAUGCCGCGUGAGUGACGAAGGCCUUCGGGUUGUAAAGCUCUUUUAAUGGUGAAGAUAAUGACGGUAGCCAUAGAAAAAGCCCCGGCUAAAUUCGUGCCAGCAGCCGCGGUAAUACGAAUGGGGCAAGCGUUGUUCGGAAUCACUGGGCUUAAAGCGUAUGCAGGCGGCCGCGCAAGUCAGAUGUGAAAUCCCUGGGCUUAACCCAGGAAUUGCUUUUGAAACUGCACGGCUAGAAUCCCGGAGAGGUUAGUAGAAUUCCGAGUGUAGAGGUGAAAUUCGCAGAUAUUCGGAGGAAUACCAGUGGCGCAAGCGACUAACUGGACGGGCAUUGACGCUCAGAUACGAAAGCAUGGGGAGCAAACAGGAUUAGAUACCCUGGUAGUCCAUGCCAUAAACGAUGUGUGCUAGUUGUCGGGGCCUACGGUCUCGGUGACGCAGCGAAAGCGGUAAGCACACCGCCUGGGGAGUACGGUCGCAAGAUUAAAACUCAAAGGAAUUGACGGGGACCCGCACAAGCGGUGGAGCAUGUUGUUUAAUUCGACGCAACGCGAAGAACCUUACCUACACUUGACNUGUCUGGACNAUUUUCANAGAUGAAUUUCUUCCCGCANGGGACUAGAACACNGNNGCUGCAUGGCUGUCGUCAGCUCGUGUCGNGA